GGCAGAGACGAUGAGCUAUGGGGUAAAAGUUUUCUGACCGACUUACCCUACCACGUUAAAAAGCUAACAAUACAAUUGGUGGUCAACACACUUCAAAUCGAUUUGAAAAACUGAUAUACAAUUGAUCCUAUGGGACUACUUUGUCGGAAACUCCUGCAUUCACUUUUGGUUCAAGGGACAUGAUUUCCCCUGUGGAAAAAGUUUGCCUUCUUUUCACUGCUUCAAAAAGUUCGUGAAUUUUAUUGGAAUAGGAAACUUGAAAUCGCUCCUGAUUCUUCAAUGUGUCAACCCAAAGGGCAUCGAUCGCUGACACGUCUUUUGCCAAUAUUUCAGUUUGAAGGAUAACUGCCUGCGCCAUUCUUUAAGUAAAGUUCAAAUAUUAUCAUUCUCCACACAAACAACGAAGAGAACAAGAGAAUGCCAUACUUAUACCAAUCAGCAAGCAAAUCAGCGGUAUUUGUCACCACAGGAACGCAUUCAGCCGUAAAUAGCGAUUCAAGACUUUUGAAUGUUUCUGUCAUUUUAAUACGUUCUAACAAAUGAAACUGCUCAUCAUUGUAUGUUAAAACUGUAAAAGAAAUAAUAGAAUAGAAAAGAGUUAGCAACAUGGUAA